UGUGCGGCGGGAGAGGUGAAGGUGGAAUGGAGAACAGGUGUGUGUAGUCAGCUGGUAGCAGUAGGCAGGAGGGGAAGGGGGAAAACACAGGAGACACAGAGAGAGGCAGGGCCAACAAAGAAACUGCAC